CAAUAGCGUAUAUUAAAGUUGUUGCAGUUAAAAAGCUCGUAGUUGGACCUUGGACCUGGACAGGCGGUCCGCCUCACGGCGUGUACUGUCUUGCUGGGUCUUUCCUCUUGGUGAUCUGUUGUUUCGGCAGCAGGGAACCAGGACUUUUACUUUGAAAAAAUUAGAGUGUUCAAAGCAGGCUCGACGCCGGAAUAUAUUAGCAUGGAAUAAUAAAAUAGGACGUGCGGUUCUAUUUUGUUGGUUUUUGGAAUCGCCGUAAUGAUUAAUAGGGACAGUCGGGAGCAUUAGUACUCGCAUGCUAGAGGUGAAAUUCUUGGAUUUUGUGAAGACUAACUUCUGCGAAAGCAUUUGCCAAGGAUGUUUUCAUUAA
rnacentral:rRNA from 1 species